CCUACGGGUGGCAGCAGUGGGGAAUAUUGGGCAAUGGGCGCAAGCCUGACCCAGCCACGCCGCGUGAAGGAAGAAGGCUUUCGGGUUGUAAACUUCUUUUAGGCGGGAAGAGCAGAAGACGGUACCUCUUGAAUAAGCCACGGCUAACUACGUGCCAGCAGCCGCGGUAAUACGUAGGGGGCAAGCGUUGUCCGGAUUUACUGGGUGUAAAGGGCGUGUAGCCGGGCUGACAAGUCAGAUGUGAAAUUCCGGGGCUCAAACACGGACCUGCAUUUGAAACUGUUGGGCUUGUGUAUCGGAGAGGUAGGCGGAAUUCGUAGUGUAGCGGUGAAAGGCGUAGAUAUUAGGAGGAACACCAGUGGCGAAGGCGGCCUGCUGGACGACAACUGACGGUGAGGCGCGAAAGCGUGGGGAGCAAACAGGAUUAGAUACCCGGGUAGUC
rnacentral:rRNA from 1 species